UUCCUGGGUUACUGUACAGAGUGUAAGGUGAUGAUUAACUUUGAUUUCCAUAGAAGCAAUUGUAAGAGGAAUCGGGCUGGAAGGACAUCAAGAGAAUGUGAGAUUAGCCACAGAAAACCCAUUCAGGGUCAUGGAUAUUGUGAAAUAUGUGCCCAACAAGGGAUUUGGGAGUUGUGAGCUUUGUUCUUGAGGAUUUUUGGGAACUUGCUGCCCAUCCACUUGAUUUCAGAUGGAGUCCAUAGGCU
rnacentral:lncRNA from 1 species